UGUACUUGUUAGUUGUUACCCAUUUACGUUUUUUACUAUAUAUUCUUUAAAGUUAAUCGAUAAUUUUUUUUAUUAUUAUAUCAAUCUUAAGUUGUGUUUAGUUAAAUUUAUCUUAAUACACACUGACACUUUAUUAGGUAGGUACCUAUUUGUAUUCAUACUUUUGUAAUUAUUUGAUAUAUAUUUAAAAAUAAAAUGUUUGGCUUUGCAAUUUAAAAACGUGUAUGUUAUAUCGGUUCAGUCCAUCGACCGGCUCAGGACAAAUUGCAUUACAGAUGCAACUCAUGCACUGUUCGUUGCACCCGUGAGCACACCUAUAAUAUAGUUAUGAUUUAUUUUUUUAUAUAGGAGCCAUACUAAGCUGAUUGGAUAAGCUGCCACGAAGUCUCGAACGAGUUAAAAAUACAUUUUUACGGUUUACCGGUUCCCAGUUGCCUAACCGGAUCAAAAUAAUUGAUCGUAAUUAUAAACCUCAUUGGAAAAUAGGAAACCUUAAUUUGUUGAGUUUGAAACUUAAAUUAUUUUUUUACUUUCAAUAUUAAUAUAACAGCAUACCCAUCUAUAUAUUAUAAUAUAUAUAUAUAUAUUCUUCAAAAUUCUUAAAACUGGAAAACAUCUCGUCUCUCUAAAUGCAUCUGAAAAUUGAAUAGUUUUUUUAUAUAUAUAUUAUUUA